rnacentral:tRNA from 1 species
UCCCUUGUGGCUCAGCUGGUAAAGAAUCUGCCUGCAAUGCAGGAGACUUGGGUUCGAUUCCUGGGUUGGGAA